AUACGGAGGGUGCAAGCGUUAAUCGGAAUUACUGGGCGUAAAGCGUGCGCAGGCGGUUUGUUAAGUCAGAUGUGAAAGCCCCGGGCUCAACCUGGGAACUGCAUUUGAUACUGGCAAACUAGAGUGUGGUAGAGGGAAGUGGAAUUCCUCAUGUAGCGGUGAAAUGCGUAGAUAUGAGGAGGAACACCAGCGGCGAAGGCGACUUCCUGGACCAACACUGACGCUCAUGUACGAAAGCGUGGGUAGCAAACAGGAUUAGAAACCCCAGUAGUCC
rnacentral:rRNA from 1 species